rnacentral:rRNA from 1 species
GGAUCAAUAUAUUGGUCGUGCCUCCGGUAUGAACUGGUAUCAUUGAUUUCUACCUUCUGACGAACUAUGAUGUCAUUAAUUUGGUGUCAUAGGGAAUCAGGACUGUUACUUUGAAAAAAUUAGAGUGUUUAAAGCAGGCACACGCUUGAAUACAUUAGCAUGGAAUAAUGAAAUAGGACGUUUGACCCUAUUUUGUUGGUUUCUAGGAUCGACGUA